rnacentral:rRNA from 1 species
CCUACGAGUGGCAGCAGUGAGGAAUAUUUGUCAAUGGACGCAAGUCUGAACCCGCCAUGCCGCGUGCAGGAAGACGGCUCUUUGAGUUGUAAACUGCUUUUGUACGGGGGUAAACGCAGAUACGCGUAUCUGUCUGAAAGUAUCCUACGAAUAAGGAUCGGCUAACUCCGGUCCAGCCGCUGCGGUAAAACGGAGGAUUCAUGCGUUAUCCGGAUUUAUUGGGUUUAAGGGGUGCGUAGGCGGUCGGAUAAGUUAGAGGUGAAAUCCCGAGGCGCAACUUCGGAAUUGCCUCUGAUACUGUUCGGCUAGAGAGUAGUUGCGGUAGGCGGAAUGUAUAGUGUAGCGGUGAAAUGCUUAGAGAUCAUACAGAACACCGAUUGCGAAGGCAGCUUACCAAGCUACUUCUGACGUUGAGGCACGAAAGCGUGGGGAGCAAACAGGAUUAGAUACCCGAGUAGUC